UAGUGAUCAACCCACCACAUAAGACCAUCUAUCAACAGAGGUUACAUCAGCUCCGCGAAGCUGGGUAUUCCACCAAUCAAAAAGCCCCCCUGGGCAUAUCACAUGAUCAGAGCCCUGGGCUUCCAAAUUGGUUCGACACCGACACCAGCAAAGCCACAUUUGGUGUGAAAUCCCCCAAAAGUGAGUCAGACAAUAAAGAAAGACCCUAGAAGCUACAAUGUGUCGCCAUGAACAUUCAUAUUAUGACUGAAAGACAUUUCCACAAGCCUUCAUGUACAAGGGUGUUCCAUCUGAUCCAGCUGCAGCUGCAGGUGCGAUUAUCAAACCACCUAAAAGCGCGGAGCAGAUGGAGACAGAGGCUAAGGAGGGACACCAGUCUUAUAUCCACUCCCACAAUGCCUACUUUGUCAGUGAACAGGUUGAUAGGAAAUACAAGGGGAGCCGUUAUGGAAAGGACGGCAGGUUCGGAGUGCCUAUUCCCCUCCACAACGAUGGACGCAGUGUCUCCAAAUCUCUCCACUGGUUGUGUGAUACUCAGAAGUUAGCACUUAUCCUACCUUACAUUUAUUCAAAACACUCGACUUCUCAUCGCUCAUCACCAUUCAAUGUCACACAAUGCAUUGCCAAUAGUCAUGACAUCAAAUGUUGAUUUGUGUACUGUUAUUUUUUCCCAUACUCAUAACAGUGCAAAGUUUGUUUCUCAGAGAUGUGAUGACAGGGAAAGGAUACAGCCACAGAUUAGCAAAGUGCAUGACCCGUAAGUCUAUCACAUUAACUCUUUAAUGCAGAUCUAGUUAAAUGCCUGUUCAGUAUAUGUUCCAGACAUGUGUAUACACAACUCAUGCCCAGCUACUACAGUAGCUUUACUUCCUCUAUUCCCAGCCUUUUAUAGCAUAGCAGACACAUUGAAAGUGCCAGCAGGUCAUACAUUUGGAAUGUUGCUAGCGGCCAGAUGACUUUGAUGUGGGUGACCUUCUCCACUCCACCCCUCCAGCAGAGUACCAGAAAGGCACAGACAGACAGCGCACCCUGGUCAGUGCUGUACGCCAGCACCUCAAGAAGGUCAACUUCCACAACUUUAACUCCCUGCUGCAGGCCUUCAGGCACGACGACAAGGUUACAUACAGUGCAUUCAGAAAGUAUUAAGACCCCUUGACUUUUUCCACAUUUUGUUACGUUACAGCCUAAUUCUAAAAUAGAUUUUUUUUUAAAAUCA